UUCUCGUGAUUAUCAUUCGUGAUUAUUUAAAAAAGAUAUGGCUCUCUGGAAUGAGGCAAGUGAAGACUCAUUGAUCGGCAUGAUCCAGGAAAGGCCGGCCUUGUAUGACAUUACGGAAAAAUUGUAUGCCAACUGUGUGGUGAAAGCUGAAAUGUGGCGUGAGAUCGAAAAUAAACUUGUCAUAUCAGGAAUCUUCGGCUGAUAGUGAUUCCUGUUCACCCUCAGACGGGUACCAAGAGUGACACCUGGACUGGCACCCAUGAAGAGCCCAGCUUCAUUGAGGGGGAGCUACAGCCCAGUACACCCUUGCCUGAAUCCACAAUCUGUGGAACUGAGUCCACAGCUGAGUCCACAGCCAUUAGAAAGAAACUAAAUACUCCAAAGCCUCCGGGGAAGCGCAAGAAGAUGCAGGAUGAAUCCAACAGUGAGGAGUCCACAUACUUGAUGCAUACCAUCGGCAAAACUCUGGAAAAGUUGGCAUCACAGGAAAACAUCAAUGAUGCCAUCUCGGCUUUCUGCAAAAUUCUAG
ensembl:lncRNA